rnacentral:rRNA from 1 species
AGUGAACGCUGGCGGUAGGCCUAACACAUGCAAGUCGAACGGCAGCACAGUAAGAGCUUGCUCUUACGGGUGGCGAGUGGCGGACGGGUGAGGAAUACAUCGGAAUCUACUUUUUCGUGGGGGAUAACGGAGGGAAACUUACGCUAAUACCGCAUACGACCUACGGGUGAAAACAGGGGAUCUUCGGACCUUGCGCGAUUGAAUGAGCCGAUGUCGGAUUAGCUAGUUGGCGGGGUAAAGGCCCACCAAGGCGACGAUCCGUAGCUGGUCUGAGAGGAUGAUCAGCCACACUGGAACUGAGACACGGUCCAGACUCCUACGGGAGGCAGCAGUGGGGAAUAUUGGACAAUGGGCGCAAGCCUGAUCCAGCCAUACCGCGUGGGUGAAGAAGGCCUUCGGGUUGUAAAGCCCUUUUGUUGGGAAAGAAAAGCAGCAGGUUAAUACCCCGCUGUUCUGACGGUACCCAAAGAAUAAGCACCGGCUAACUUCGUG